GCCGGGGUGGUGAAAUAGGUAGACGCAGGGGACUCAAAAUCCCCCGGGCCUUGUGCCCGUGAGAGUUCGAUUCUCUCCUCCGGCA
rnacentral:tRNA from 1 species